GACGAACGCUGGCGGCGUGCUUAACACAUGCAAGUCGAACGGUAAGGCCCUUCGGGUACGACGAGUGGCGAACGGGUGAGUAACACGUGGGUGAUCUGCCCUGCACUUCGGGAUAAGCCUGGGAAACUGGGUCUAAUACCGGAUAGGACCAUGGACUUCACGGUUUGUGGUGGAAAGCUUUUGCGGUGUGGGAUGGGCCCGCGGCCUAUCAGCUUGUUGGUGGGGUAAUGGCCUACCAAGGCGACGACGGGUAGCCGGCCUGAGAGGGUGUCCGGCCACACUGGGACUGAGAUACGGCCCAGACUCCUACGGGAGGCAGCAGUGGGGAAUAUUGCACAAUGGGCGCAAGCCUGAUGCAGCGACGCCGCGUGAGGGAUGACGGCCUCGGUU
rnacentral:rRNA from 1 species